UGGCGGCAUGCCUAAUACAUGCAAGUCGAGCGGAUUGGAAGAGAAGCUUGCUUCUCUGACAGUUAGCGGCGGACGGGUGAGUAACACGUAGGCAACCUGCCUUUCAGUCUGGGAUAACUUCCGGAAACGGAUGCUAAUACCGGAUACAUCAUUUCUCCGCAUGGAGAGAUGAGGAAAGACGGCGCAAGCUGUCACUGAGAGAUGGGCCUGCGGCGCAUUAGCUAGUUGGUGGGGUAACGGCUCACCAAGGCGACGAUGCGUAGCCGACCUGAGAGGGUGAACGGCCACACUGGGACUGAGACACGGCCCAGACUCCUACGGGAGGCAGCAGUAGGGAAUCUUCCACAAUGGGCGAAAGCCUGAUGGAGCAAUGCCGCGUGAGUGAUGAAGGUUUUCGGAUCGUAAAGCUCUGUUGCCAGGGAAGAACGUCCGGGUGAGUAACUGCACCCGGAGUGACGGUACCUGAGAAGAAAGCCCCGGCUAACUACGUA
rnacentral:rRNA from 1 species